rnacentral:rRNA from 1 species
AUGGCCACGCAGGAGACGUCGGCGCUGUUGGCAGCGGACGGCGAGCAUGACCAUCCCACGCUGCACACGCACAACGUGGCCGAGGUGACCCCGACUCUGCCGCUGGAGACGCGGUGGCCGCCGUUCGCGCACCGCCAGUACCGUGGGUUCUGGGUGCCCGAGCGGUUCCUGCCGGCGCUCGCGGCCUUCUACGACCAAUUCGAGCCGGCUCCCGGCGAUGUGCUCCUGGUCACCUGCCCCAAGUCCGGCACCACGUGGCUCAAGGCACUUGCCUUUGCCACCGCGCACCGCGCUACCCACGCGCCGUCGUCCGCCGACCACCCACUCCUCGGCCGCAACCCGCACGGCUGCGUCAGAUUCCUGGAAGGCGUCUUCUGCGGCCGCUCCGUUGAGGAGGUGCGCGACGUCCUCGCCGCGGCCUGCCCAUCCCCGCCGCGCGUCCUCGCCACCCACUGGGCCUACUCUCAGCUGCCGGAGCGCGUCACCCGCGUUAGCCGGAUCGUGUACAUCUGCCGGGACCCCAAGGACGUGCUGGUGUCGUGGUACUGGUUCCUGAAGAAGCUAGUCGCCCACAACGGCGCCGGCGACGACCAGCCCAAGGAUCUGGACUUCGCCGAGCUGUUCGAAGUGUUCUGCGCGGGCCGCAACGGGUCCGGGCCGAUGUGGCGGCAGGCGGCCGAGUACUGGGAGGCGAGCAGGGAUCGCCCGGACAAGGUGCUCUUCCUGAGGUACGAGGAGAUGCUGCGCGAUCCGUCGGGCAACGUCCGGAAGCUGGCGCGGUUUCUAGGGUGCCCGUUCACGGCGGAGGAGGAAGACGCCGGCGUGGUGGGCGCCAUCCUUGAGCUGUGCAGCCUGGAGAAGCUGAGGAACCUGGAGGUCAACAGGAACGGCGCGCCGGCACUGGCCGUGUCAAACGACGCCUUCUUCAGGAAGGGCGUGGUCGGCGACUGGCGCAGCCAUAUGACGCCGGCCAUGGCGGCCAGGCUGGAUGGCAUCGUCGACGAGGCCCUGCGAGGCACGGGCUUAUCGUUCGUCAACUCUGGUCACGGGGAAGAAGGCGCUGCGCCGUAG